rnacentral:lncRNA from 1 species
UCCUAUUGUGUUUCUCCCCCAAUGAAUGUCGUGUGCUGCCGCCCCUUUUUCCAAUUGAAAAUCCAACAUAUAUGCUUAUGCCUGUGGUGGCUGCACACUUAAAACAUAGGGUGAAUAACCUGCUUGCAGGCCGUGACCAAGAGCACAACCGUGACACCUUUCAACAAUGAAAAUGCAAAAAAAAAAAAAGAAAUGUUUCCUCCUUAAAUGCUAGUUGGCGUGCCAUGUGAAUAACAUUGAAAGCAUGAAUAAAAUAGGCAUCCUUAUAAAAUCAGCGUUAAUGGACUAUGCUUGCAUAAUACCACACACUCUUCAAUGCUAAAGAUAUGGGGUCCAGCGUUGCAAAAGAAUAAAAAAAACAAUUGAAAAAAAAUGCUUCUUCCAUUCAAGCAUGAAACCAGCGUCCAUCUUCCUUGGAAAAAACCGUGAACCACAUUUAUUCCAAGCUCCCCAAAAUAUUUGCUGAAGUGUGGCGGCUGCUGCCAUUUAGCUAAGGUCGUGUGCCCUCUAAAAUAGGGUGGGAUCCACCCUUAAAAAGAAUAAAACCCUAGGUAAUGCCAAGUGUCCUACAAUUUUGGGCCCC